GGUUCAUGCCACACAAUU
rnacentral:sRNA from 1 species